AUCUUCCUUUUGUAGGCACAGAACACUGUUCUCUAUCAGCAUACACUUGAUCACUGUCACUACUGCUGACUUGAUUGUGAUCUUGGGCAAGUCCCUUCGCUCACUUUGACAUACUAGAUUCAAGCUUGGACUUACUGGAAAGAGUAAAGUCUAUCUAACUUCCCGGCUUCAAACACCAGACCUGAGGAGAAGUUGUAGAUCUGUACUUAAUAAAGAUGCAAGGUUCAGUCAUUCAAUUUUUGCCAGCUUGCCUUGAAAACAAAGAAUUUCAAAUUGCAAAGGAGUGGGUUCCUUGAAGGGCUUGCUUAUGGAACAAGCUUCACCGUAGAGUCAAGCUUUGACAGAGACUCAGGAAGGGUGAUGGUCAGGGUUGACCUUGAGUGUGACUAUGGUGGUGAUGUAUCCUUGUAUACUUUUAUAAUGUUUUUAUACUGUAAGUCAACAGCAAAUAUUCCAUCUCCCAUAGCAAUGUAAUUAUGCUAUUGCAAAAGUGAUGCAUUUAUAGAGUGGCAAAUGCAUUUCUCUUUCCUUAUCCACUUACCUGACUUGCUAAAGGUUUUUAAUAAUACCCAAAGUAAUGGGAGCUGAAUAAUUCAUGUCUAAAUUAGACAUGCAUUAAUGGUCCCUGUGCAGUUAACUGGAAAACUAGGAUCUGGCUUAGUGUUUGCUUGUACCAAUAAAACACUUUGAAGGCUACUGUGACUGUAACCG
rnacentral:lncRNA from 1 species